UAGCUACUCCCUCCGUUCGAAAUUACUUGUCGCAGAAAUGGACGUAUCUAGAUGUAUUUUAGUUCUAGAUACAUCCAUUUUCGAGACAAGUAAUUCCGAACGGAGGGAGUAAUUA
rnacentral:pre_miRNA from 1 species